rnacentral:lncRNA from 1 species
UAGUUCACCCAAAAAUGACAAGUCUGGCAUCAGUUACCCUCAUGUCGCUCCAAAAUUUUAUGACUUUCUUUAUAAUGUGUAUACAUAUAUAUGUAUUUUUCUAUACAAUGAAAUCAAAUGGAAUAUUGUUUGAUUUCCAACUUUCCCAACUUUUGAUCCCUUCAAGAUCCCCCAUUCAUUGUCACUGCAUGACAAGUACAAUUAUUAAAAAUGUCUCCUUUUGUCUUCCAUCGAAGAAAGUCAUACAAGUUUGGAAUGACAUGAAGGUGAUUAAAUGUCCCAAGUUUCAUUUUGUGAACUAAUCCUUCAACCCUUCAAGCUCCUUCACAUCUUACAGGUGACCCUUCAAACGGGCAAAGCCAUCACCCCUUAAAUAGCCCUGGGGAUCCUUGUGGUUGGGCGACCUCUGACCCCUGACCUCAGAAGCUGCUGACUUAUUACUCAACGCCUCGUGCAAUUCUGGAAUGUUCCAAGCCAAUGGCAGGAAAGCUGGAGGGUGUGCAACCACCUCGAUUCAUUAAUUGAUCUCUGAGAGUGCCAAAAUGAGUGUGUGAUCAGGAACGAGUGGGCUUGACAAGAGGAAAAACAGAGACAAAGAAUAUCUUUCCAUACCUUAGAGAUAUUGAGAAAUGGGGUCAGAGCCCUUUGGCCCCUUGGCUUGAAAUAGCACCCGGAGCUUAUUGACUGUAAACACAGAGAGAUGAGUGAGCUACUUGUGGAAAGCACUUCCAUCUUAUUGCAGAAUCCAGCAGGAGAAACUUUUGGAGAAACAUAUGAGACUCAGUUGACACUCAACUAAAACACAACAAACUCCAAUCUCUUGAGAUAUGAAAGAGCAACCACUGAGCAAUAAAAAAGCAGAAAGAGAGAGCAAUGAAGAGAAAGACUGAAGAUGGGCGAUGGAAACACGAGUAUUUAUAACCAAGAGGCCGUGACACAGCAGAAUGCUGGGCCAUGUUUGGUGUGGCCCGUCACAUCGUGACAUCCCAAAUUCACAUCACACUAAUGAGCGGGAAGCUUCGUCGAUGGCUGAUGCCAGGGAGAGGGCGAGAGGAAAUGAAACACAAAUGCCCUUCACUAGCGAAGUUAACAUGUCUGUGACUACAGGAGCUGGCAGAGACUCCUUCCAGUGCUUAAUGUGUUCCCUGAAAUGGAACAACAGAGCGGUCUGGAUGACCUUCAGUACAAGCACACACCCAGUGAGACGCGCAAGAUCUGAGACUACUGUGGACAGCAGCCAGGAACUCCCUUAAAAUGUGAGAAAAAACAGGCAGGUUCUGCUAAUAUACAAUAAGUAAUACAGAGCUCAAAAUAUAUAUAACAUUAAUGAAAUGGUCAUGCAAUGUUAUUUAAUCAAGUUCGUAAAAAAAAGCACAUUUCCAUUCAUCUAUUUACAGUAUCUAUCAUGUACCCACUGUGUUAAUUUUAUGUCCUUACAUGCAUUUCCGCAUCCUGUUUCCUUUAUCAAUUCAAACUCAAAAACUGAACUGGAAUUUAAAAGGCAUUCUCUGUUUAAUUGUGAAUGGCUCACAACCCUGUUAUGCACUACAAC